UACAGAGGGUGCGAGCGUUGUCCGGAAUCACUGGGCGUAAAGGGCGCGUAGGCGGCUUGGUAAGUAGGGGUGGAAAUACUCAUGGCGUCAACUGUGAGGCGUGCCUUCUAGACUGCUGAGCUGGAGCACAGUAGAGGCGAGUGGAAUUCCCGGUGUAGCGGUGGAAUGCGUAGAGAUCGGGAGGAACACCUAUGGCGAAAGCAGCUGCCUGGG
rnacentral:rRNA from 1 species